GCCAGCUAAGGUCUAGACAGGGGAAGGGACUUGCCCCAAAUCACAGUUAGAGCAAAUCAGUCUGAAUCAGGAAUAACUCCAUUCCUAUCCCGCAUCCUGCCCUUUCACUACGCCACAGCUGCCUGGCUGCCUGGAGGAACAAAGGAGGGCCGGGCAAGAACGCCAUUACCAACUGCAAAUCCACAGGCAAAUGCAAGAGGACAGAAAUCCCAAGAACCCAGCCCCUAAGCCUUCAGCUCUGUCCCAGGUCUGCCUCUCCUCCAGGCCCUCAGGACGCAGGCUCCAAGCCUUCGACUGCCCAGAUCCCCCAUUCCCUCCAAGACCCAGGAGUCCAGCCUUCUGGCCUCUCUCACCUCAGCUUCCAGCAGUUCUGGAACAGGCUCCUCCUUGGUCAGCAUUGGGGGUUCGUCGGUGCUGCCAGCAGUUAUGCCCCCGGGAUCUGGAACGUCAAGGCGCUGCGAAUACGAGUGGGUCUCCACCACCAGAAUGGCUAAAGUGAAAAAGACCGCACCGUGUGGAGGCGAGAAAGUAGAGCGACUGGACCUCUCUUGUAUUUCUGGGGGAGUGUAAAUUGGUAGAGACAUUUUGGAAAACUGGCAGUUUUCUAAUGAAGCCGAACAUAUGCCACCUCUGUGAUCCAGCAGUUCCACUCCUAGGCUGUCAACACCCAGCAGAAAUGUGUAGGUGUGAGCAUCAAGAGGGUGCAUGGGAAUGUUCAGAGCCCUUUCAUAACAGCCCCAAACUGGAAAUAACCCAUCAACAGAAUGGAAAAUGAAUGAUGCCCUACUCACUACCAUGCACAUAGACACAGCAACGGGAUUGACAUGCCCGGCUACACACAGCAACAUAGACAAGUCGCAUGAUGAAAUCUUGAGUGACAGAAGCCAAAUGCAACAGUACAUACUAGAUGGUUCCAGGUGUAUUACGUUCAGAACCAGACAAAACUAAUUUAUAGUGCACCAAAGUCAAGAUAGUGAUCGCCCUUAGGGUUGGGAGGGGACGAGGGGAGAGCUUCUGGGAGCUGAUCCAGUUCUGUUGUGUAAUCUGGUGCUGGUUCCCUGGGCAUAUGUAUUCUGUGAAAAUCCAUCACAUGACUUAAAUAAAAUGUACAUUACUUAAAUAAAA
rnacentral:lncRNA from 10 species